GUUUACUUCAGCAGCACAUAUACUAAAAUGGGAACAGUACAGAGAAGAUUAGCAGGGUCCCUGCACGACAUGCAAAUUCAUAAAGAGAUUUUCCUGGAAUCU